CCUACGGGUGGCAGCAGUGGGGAAUAUUGGGCAAUGGGCGCAAGCCUGAACCAGCAACGCCGCGUGAAGGAAGAAGGCUUUCGGGUUGUAAACUUCUUUUCUCAGGGACGAAGCAAGUGACGGUACCUGAGGAAUAAGCCACGGCUAACUACGUGCCAGCAGCCGCGGUAAUACGUAGGUGGCAAGCGUUAUCCGGAUUUACUGGGUGUAAAGGGCGUGUAGGCGGGAAAGCAAGUCAGAUGUGAAAACCAUGGGCUCAACCUGUGGCCUGCAUUUGAAACUGUUUUUCUUGAGUACUGGAGAGGCAGACGGAAUUCCUAGUGUAGCGGUGAAAUGCGGAGAUAUUAGGAGGAACACCAGUGGCGAAGGCGGUCUGCUGGACAGCAACUGACGCUGAGGCGCGAAAGCGUGGGGAGCAAACAGGAUUAGAUACCCUUGUAGUC
rnacentral:rRNA from 1 species